rnacentral:tRNA from 1 species
GGUCCUGUAGUGUAGUGGUAAGCACACUGGUUUUUGAUACCAGUGACCCCGGUUCGAACCCGGGCAGGACCU